GAAUGCAUGAGGUUAGAAAUCGGUGCAGAGGCUGGAGCGUUAGUCACAUCUGGGCACAUCCAGCUGUGUGCAGAGCCAGCAGGGAGCCCGGCCAUCAGUUUGGGCGAAGCCUGCCCCAUGCAGCGGACGGGCCGUGCGCUGGGCUGCCGUGCCCUGGGCUCCCUGCAGCGAGCAAACCAGCCGUGAGCCGAUGCAACGUGACAGCGGGUUGGAGGAGAAGAGCAUCCUGCACUACCUGCAACAUGGACAGCAGAAGUGGAUUUGAGUCAUGAGAAUCAAAGGUAAAAGGAAAAUAAAAACGUCAUGGAGAAGAAGCAUGAGAAACCCUCAGAGCAGCAAGAAUGAAUGUGGCACCAAGGACAGCGACUCUGGGCAGGGAAGAGCUAAGAGGGAAGCAAAGAGCCAUGUGGGAAGAGCAGCAGGUGAUACUAAAAUUAUAUAUACAGCCUUAAAGGGGAGGAAAAGGGGUUUGGACUUGUCUGGGAAGUCUGAGAAAUGGUUCAAGGAGGUGAGCAGCUCUUCAAGGUGCGGGAGGAAGGUUAUUUUGGUAACAGGCACAAACGAUAGGACAGCUGGGCAUGGAGUGAGGAGAAGAAAGAGCCUCUGUUCUACUAACACCAGCCCAUACUAUCCUCCCAAAAAGCAUCUCCCUGGCAAGGCUGAAGAAAUAGCAUUAUUUUAGAGGGGAGUUGAGGCACAGAAGUUUAUUUUCUGUCUUGAUCCAAGACAUGCAGAAAGUCUGUAGAUGGGCAGGGAGCUGAUGUGCCAGAUCUCUUGAUUUCUAGCCCAGCAGUGUUUCCCCAUCUGCCUGCCUUUCUCUAGCCUUCCAGUGGUUUGGCAAAGCCUCAGUAGAUGAUGGUAAAGAAAGGAUGUAGUGGUGCAAUAAUAAAGAGAAUAAAAAGUA